rnacentral:lncRNA from 1 species
AUGAGGGACAUAUGUUUUAACAGAUUAGGGAAGAUAAACAUGAUGAACUAUCAUUCAGCCAUUUCAAAAGACAUAAUCAGGAAGGCUCUCUCGAAACAUGGAAAAAUGUUUCACAGCAGAGACAGCCCAGAUGACCAUAAGGGGAAGGACUUAAUGGAUUGCGGUGAAUCAACACAAUGGAACAUUACAGCAGCUAUUUUUAAAAAGCUUCGUGGCUGAAGAGCCGCAAAGACGGCACCCACAGUUCCUCCUGCUCUCCUGCAUGCUCUUCCCACCAAGAUGUGGAGAUGACUUGGCCUCCUCUUACAUCUGGGCUGGCUUAUAACCUGCUUGGGCCAUAGUACGUGGUGCAGGUGACACUGUAUGACUCUGGGCCUCAGCGUGUGUUUCCUAGAAACACGUGCUUCUGUUUUCACCCUCAUGGAAGCCAACUGCCAUGUACACAAAUCCAGCUGUCCUGCUAGAGAGAGAAACCACAUGGAGAGAGAGACUCUGAGGGGAGAGAAUUUCACUCGGCCAGCUCCUGGGUGCUCCAGACACCCUGCAGAGGUACCAGACUUGUGAACGAGGCUAUCUUGGAUCCUCUAGCUCUGGUAGAACCACCCUCGCCAACACUAUGUGGAGCAGAGACGAGUCAUCUGCAUUGAACUGUGCUCUCAUUGCUGAACUGUAGGCAAAUAAAUGCUUGCUGCUAUUUGCAGUCACUAAGUUUUGAGAUGGUAGCAAUAGCUAACUGAAACAGCUCUAAUCUGAAUAGACCGAAGGACUCUAGGACCAGCGUUAAGUCUCCCCUGGUUUUACAUUUCCUUUCCCACACAGAGCCUGGCGCCUUAUAAAUGUUGGGUGGAUGGAUUCAGGUGAGAAAGAGGAGGGAAGCAGAACAGGCAUAAUAAUGCCUAACUUUUAUUAGGCACAUUAAAGCUCCUUUCUAUGUAUUGACUCAACUAAUUCUCACCACGGCAUGGUUGAAGAAAUAUGGUACAGAGAAGAUAAUCAACUUAUUCAAGGAAAGCACGGUGAUAUCUGGGAUUCAAACUCUGGCAGUCUGGGCCGCAUGCAUACAACUGUUUUGUUAUGUUAAAUAACAUGAUGAAGAUUAAGUAGUCUAAAUACUGGCUCCUAACAGGCGUCUUCUCAAAUAAGUAUAGAGAGAACCAGGACAGGAUAAUUAUCAGGCGAGGGCCUGUGGCUGGGCUUUGGGAGGGAUGUUCUUGGCAUGGGGAGCCUGUGCCUGGUUCCACAGGGUAAUUCUGCACACACACAAACCCCUGGGCAGGCUGGGCCCCACCAUGCACCUGCAGCCUCCAGAUUUCUGGAAUUCAGUGAUUCCCACACGCUUACCCAUGUGGGUGGGUAAGUUAAAUAAUCACACCGCCCAUUAGUUUCCAUUUUAUAUAAAUACUAUGCUGGAGAAAUGGUGAGUCUUGACAGGCCUGAACCACCCAGUCCAGGGAUUGGAAAAGUAUAGCCCAGGACCCAAGUCCUGCCCACCACCUGUUUUUAUAUGACCUACAGCUAAUAAUGUUUUUCACAUUUAUUAACGGUAAAAAUGGAGGGAAAAAAAUCAAACAAUAAUACUAUUUUUUGACAUGUGAAUAUAUUAUAAAUUCAAAUUUUAGUGCCUGAUAUAGUUUGGAUAUUUGUCCCCACCCAAAUCUCAUGUUGAACUGUAGUCCCCAGUGUAAAAGACAGAGCCUGGUGGGAGGUAUUUAGGUGUCAUGGGAGUGGAUCCCUCAUGGCUUGGUGCUGUCCUUGCAAUAGUGAGUGAGUUCUUGUAAGAUCUAGCUGUGUGCAUGUAUGGCACCUCCCCCGUCCCAACUCUCUAGCUCCUGCCACAUGAUGUGCCUGUUUCCCCUUUGCCUUCCACCAUUUUCAGUUUCCUGAGGCUUCCGCUAUGCUUCCUGUACAGCUAACAGAACCAUGAGCCAAUUAAACUUCUUUUUAAAAAAAAAAAAAUUACCCAGUCUCAGGUAUUUCUUAUAUCAAUGCAAGAACAGCCGAAUAGAGAAAAUUAGUGCCAGGAGUGGAGCAUUUCCAAAAUGUGGAAAUGACUUUGGAACUGGGUGACAGGCAGAGGCUAGAAGAGUUUGGAGGACUCACAAGAAGACAGGAAGAUGAGGGAAAGUUUGCA